GAGUUUGAUCAUGGCUCAGAACGUACGCUGGCGGCACGCCUAACACAUGCAAGUCGAACGAAGUAGCAAUACUUAGUGGCAGACGGGUGAGUAACAUGUAGGUAUCUGCCCUUUGGCCUGGAAUAACACGAGGAAACUUGUGCUAAUACCGGAUAAGUCUUUACGGAGAAAGCUUUAUGCACCAUUGGAUGAGCCUGCACUUGAUUAGUUUGUUGGUGGGGUAAUGGCCUACCAAGACUGUGAUCAAUAGCUGAUUUGAGAGGAUGAUCAGCCACAUUGGGACUGAGACACGGCCCAAACUCCUACGGGAGGCAGCAGUGGGGAAUCUUGCACAAUGGAGGAAACUCUGAUGCAGCGAUGCCGCGUGAGUGAAGAAGGCCCUUGGGUUGUAAAGCUCUUUCGUCGGGGAAGAAAAUGACUGUACCCGAAUAAGAAGGUCCGGCUAACUUCGUGCCAGCAGCCGCGGUAAUACGAAGGGACCUAGCGUAGUUCGGAAUUACUGGGCUUAAAGAGUUCGUAGGUGGUUGAAAAAGUUAGUGGUGAAAUCCCAGAGCUUAACUCUGGAACUGCCAUUAAAACUUUUCAGCUAGAGUAUGAUAGAGGAAAGCAGAAUUUCUAGUGUAGAGGUGAAAUUCGUAGAUAUUAGAAAGAAUACCAAUUGCGAAGGCAGCUUUCUGGAUCAUUACUGACACUGAGGAACGAAAGCAUGGGUAGCGAAGAGGAUUAGAUACCCUCGUAGUCCAUGCCGUAAACGAUGUGUGUUAGACGUUGGAAAUUUAUUUUCAGUGUCGCAGGAAACCGAUAAACACACCGCCUGGGAGUACGACCGCAAGGUUAAACUC
rnacentral:rRNA from 1 species